GACAAACGCUGGCGGCGUGCGUAAAACAUGCAAGUCGCACGGUGCUACGGCACAGUGGCAGACGGCUGAGGAACGCGUAGGAACCUGCCCACCAGUGGGGAAUACCCGCCCGAAAGGGCGGCUAAUACCGCAUCCGCUGACUUCGGUCAGGAAAGCCGUAAGGCGCUGGUGGAGGGGCCUGCGUCCGAUUAGCUGGUUGGUGGGGUAACGGCCUACCAAGGCGAUGAUCGGUCGCUGGUCUGAGAGGAUGACCAGCCAGACUGGGACUGGGACACGG
rnacentral:rRNA from 1 species